rnacentral:rRNA from 1 species
GAUGAACGCUGGCGGCGUGCUUAACACAUGCAAGUCGAACGGAAAGGCCACAGCUUGCUGUGGUACUCGAGUGGCGAACGGGUGAGUAACACGUGGGUGAUCUGCCCUGUACUUCGGGAUAAGCUUGGGAAACUGGGUCUAAUACCGGAUAGGAAUCACAUGUGGGUGUGUGGUUGGAAAGCUUUUGCGGUAUGGGAUGAGCUCGCGGCCUAUCAGCUUGUUGGUGGGGUAAUGGCCUACCAAGGCGUCGACGGGUAGCCGGCCUGAGAGGGUGUACGGCCACAUUGGGACUGAGAUACGGCCCAGACUCCUACGGGAGGCAGCAGUGGGGAAUAUUGCACAAUGGGCGCAAGCCUGAUGCAGCGACGCCGCGUGGGGGAUGACGGCCUUCGGGUUGUAAACUCCUCUCGUCAGGGACGAAGCGAAAGUGACGGUACCUGGAUAAGAAGCACCGGCUAACUACGUG